rnacentral:rRNA from 1 species
AUAGCGUAUAUUAAAGUUGUUGCAGUUAAAAAGCUCGUAGUUGAAUUUUGGCCUUAGUUUGUGAGGUUCAGCCUUCAUUGGUUGGUACCUUUACGAACUGGGCUCCACCUUCUGGGUUAGCUAGUUGUUACUUCGGUGCAGCUAGUGAACCAGAACUUUUACUUUGAAAAAAUUGGAGUGUUUAAAGCAGGCUUUUAAGCUUGAACAUAUUAGCAUGGAAUAAUGAAAUAGGACUUUGGCCUUAUUUCGUUGGUUUCUAAAGCCAAAGUAAUGAUGAAUAGGGACGGUCGGGGGCAUUAGUAUUCCGUUGCUAGAGGUGAAAUUCUUAGAUUUACGGAAGACUAACUUCUG